AGGGAUUGAUUUCUCAUGUAUGGGAUCCAGGGAUAUGUUGUGGAGAUGUGCAGGCUUUAAGUUUGAUUGUCGAGAAAUUUAACUUGAGCUUAGAUGAUCCUGAUAUGGCUAAUAUUGUAUCUUUAUCUUAUGCUUCCAAAAGGAAAAAUGGUAAAACUAAUACAGUUUGUGACUUGGAUGGAAUGACAUUCAAUUGGUUGCAUCAAUUAAAGGAGAUGCAUGACAGAGCUGCAAUUUGUUUUUGGUGCCUCACUUUCUUUAUUUUUACAGUUUCUUCUUUUGUGCCUUUUGUGGAUUAUGGCCGAACAUAUAGUAUUAACGGUUGUAAGGUUGUGAUGGAGUGGAAUGAGAGGCAGUUUAUUUGGGUGCUUAAUGUUUACUAGAGGAGCAUCAAAUCUAAUGAUAAUGGAUUACAAUAUAAACUUUUAUAAUGUUCC
rnacentral:lncRNA from 1 species